AUCGCUUCUCGGCCUUUUGGCUAAGAUCAAGUAUAGUAUCUGUUCUUACCAGUUGAAACACACUUUUGGAGGUAAGUACUUCAA
rnacentral:snRNA from 1 species